GAGCCAAACCAUAUCAUUAUCCAUCCACCCAUUCAUUUAUUCCUUCACUAAACGCCUGUUGAACACCUUUUAUGUGCCAACCACUAUGUUGGUUAGUGGAGGCACAGAAAAGUAUGAGAGGUGAGCUCAGUUGAUGGUAUUUAGGUGGGUCUAUAUCUGGGCUCUCUAUGCUUCUCCAUUGAUCUAUUUGUCUAUUUUUUUUUCCUUUUUUGCCAAAGACUUCCUUAAUCUUUAACAAUGUAAUUCUAGUAAGAGAAAAAGAAGCUUCAGAAGUAAUACUACCAAAUCAUGGGGCGGGAUUGUGGGGGUGGUGAGUGAACUCAGGAAAAAGACAAAGAGAAAGAGAGAGAGAGAAUGAAGGCCAUAUAAGAUAAAGUGUUGAAUGUUACAUGCUCUGUUGACUGUGGGCCCCAGGAUGUAUAUGAUGGAAUUUACUGAAAGGGAAUUUGCACAUUUAUAAAAAGGAUGCAGUUCUAGAAAAUAGCUAGUUAUGCUAGCAUCUUGUUUCUUUAUCGAUGCUGCAGUGUUAUAUAAGCACUGAAUCCUCCCACAUUUCCAGCUCUUAUCUAAAAACCAGAGUGUGUACCACCUGGGUUAAGAGGAAGAUGAAAUGAAAUUGGGGAAAUAAAUGGUGGAAAGCAUCCUGAAAGAAACCAACUAGAUAUGUUCAAGUCAGCAGGUUCUGAAUUAUUUAGUAAUUUGAGAAAUGUGUAAGGGAUGUUCUGACAUGUUUUUUUCUCUCAUUUUCUCCCUGUUCUGCCAGGCCUAUAGCGAAUCUACCACCUUUGUUGGCCUCUUCUUCUUCCCCCACUUAUUACUAUGGAUGCUACCUGAGCUCAUUGUCCCUGGAGAUGGACCAAAUAGAAGAACAAGCAGUGUCUUUGUGGUGAGCUUCAAGAGCUGAAGGUAAAGAAAUUUCAUGUGGUAGAUUCCUACAAAAGAAAAAGCUGAAAAGGAGCCAACCAGAAAAGGUGCUAGACAAACAUUGAGUGGCUCCUGAGUGAUGAAUAAGAAAGAAACCUUCUGUUUGGUAAGCCAUUGAAAUUUGAGGAGAAUUUGUAAAAGCUGUUGCUGUAAACCUCCCCACUGCAAAACACACUUCUACCAGAUGUUGAAGGGCAUGUCAUUCCAAUCUUAUGUAAAUUAUUCCAGAGAAUGGACAAAGAAGAACUAUUCCUCCAACUGAUUUUAGGAAGCCAAAAUUACCUUAAUACAAACACUAGCUGAGAACAGAAUAAAAAGGUACAAUACGGUUUACAAAACUGAUGAAGAAAUCCUAAACAAAGUAUUAACAAAUUGAAUCCAAUGAAAAAAUAUACUUGAAUUAUGUGCACACAUAUGAAAUCAUUCAUCAUUUAACAAAUAUUUUAAGCACCUGACAUAUGCCAAGCAGCAACAUAACAACUUGAGGCAUCAGAGAGCUCUGCCCUUGUAAACCUACAUUCCAGCAGAAGAAAAUAGGGAAUCUAUAAAUAAGAGAGAAUUCCUAGUAUCAGCCUUGACCGAGGCAAUCUUUUCCUUGGUGCUGCCCCCAAGUGCCUUCAUUUUUAAAAAAAAAAUUCUAUUGUUGAUGACUCAUACUAAGUUUAUAGUUAAAAGGAAUUCCCCAACCUUUAAAAAAUUAUAUAAACCAUUAUGAGGUCCAAUUUACUUAUUGUGAUGCGUAUUGAGUGUUCAAAACAGCAAAAAAGAGUAAAAUAAUAAAUACCACAUCCACCCAUAGCUUAUAAAAUGAAACUCUGCCCAUUCAGUUGGUUCUUCUGUACAUUUCUCUGUGCUGUUUCUUUCUCACCACAUAGGGUUACCACUAAACUACGCUGUUUUUCCAUUUUUAUUGCAUGUUUAUAUGUAUUUUUAAGCAAUAGACGGUAUUGUUUACAGGUUUUAGAACCUUAUUAAAUAUGUUUGUGGGCAGUAACUAAUUCCAUUUGUUUAAAGGGUUUGGCAUGAAAUAGUAAAUAACUCAUAGCUAGUAAAACAAAAA